UUGUCGCAAGAGAAGGUGCUGAGAGAUGGGCCUGCGGCCGAUUAGCUAGCUGGUGGGGUAAAGGCCUACCAGGGCGACGAUCGGUAGCUGGUCUGAGAGGACGAUCAGCCACACUGGGAUUGAGAACGGCCCAGACUCCUACGGGGGGCAGCAGUGAGGAAUUUUCGGCAAUGGGGGAAACCCUGACCGAGCAACGCCGCGUGCAGGAAGACGGCCUUCGGGUUGUAAACUGCUUUUCUGUGGGAAGAGAAGGGACGGUACCACAGGAAGAAGCCCCGGCUAACUACGUGCCAGCAGCCGCGGUAAUACGUAGGGGGCGAGCGUUGUCCGGAGUUACUGGGCGUAAAGCGCACGCAGGCGGUCUGCUAAGAGUGGGGUGACAGUGGUCGGCUUAACCGACUAAGUGCCUGACAGACUGGCAGACUUGAGGGCCACAGAGGGACAUGGAACUCCAGGUGUAGUGGUGAAAUGCGUAGAUAUCUGGAAGAACACCAAAAGGCGAAAGCAGUGUCCUGGGUGGCAACUGACGCUGAUGUGCGAAAGCCAGGGAGCGAACGGGAUUAGAUACCCCGGUAGUCCUGGCCGUAAACGAUGAUUGC
rnacentral:rRNA from 1 species